GACAGAGGGUGCAAGCGUUGUCCGGAAUUAUUGGGCGUAAAGAGCGUGUAGGCGGCCAGAUAAGUCCGCUGUGAAAUCUCGAGGCUCAACUUCGAGCUGUCGGUGGAAACUAUCUGGCUAGAGUCCGGAAGAGGAGAAUGGAAUUCCUGGUGUAGCGGUGAAAUGCGCAGAUAUCAGGAAGAACACCCGUGGCGAAGGCGGUUCUCUGGGACGGUACUGACGCUGAGACGCGAAAGCGUGGGGAGCGAACAGG
rnacentral:rRNA from 1 species